UCUUUUCUUCUCAAGAAAAAAAGUACGUAAUAAAAUACGUAGCUCAUAGGGUCUACAGGUUCUGAACUUAUCCUUAGGCCUCGUUCGAUCCCCACAGAACUCCCGAGCCGCCGACCCACAUGAGCCAUUUCUUCCGAUUUGCCGCCGGUGAAGAAAGGUAUGACCGCUGGCCAUCAGGAAAUCAAACCCCAGGCUAUACUGGAUCUACUUGUCACUAAUUUUCUUCGAAUUUCUUUUUCUGGUUGCGCAGGUGGGCGGGUGAGUCCAUGAGUCCGUAAGGUGUGAAUCCACGCCAACCUCGUUGAGUCUAGCGGAGCGGCAGGGAGGGCCAUUGCGAGCGCGGCGCGCUGCUGAACCGGCGGCUAGUGGCUGUGGUGGAGAUGCUGGAGGUUGGUGGCACCGAGGAGGCGGUGAGGGAGCACCGGUUCACGGAUUUUCUGGACGAAAUCAUGCGAUUCGGUCUAAGUUUGUUGGUGGCAAGGCAACAAUGUCAGCGCAACAAAUGUCCCAAAAAGAAUGGUUGUUCGGAUGGAGGAUGCUGAAGAAUGGCUGGAUGGACAGAGGAUGGCCUGCUGCGAUGGUCCAUGGGAGGUAUGGGGGUAACAGAGGCAAGAUGCAUAUAAGGAGACCGUUGGAUAAUCAAAUAGCAGCAAGAUGUUAGUGGCUUCUGGGGACGGCAUGGCUCCUACAAAAUGUGAAGUACCAGCUAAUGGUAUGCAAUCUUCCAUUGUGGUUCCUCCAUAUCACUAUUGAGUAUGUUUUUUAGUUUUUUUUUACGGGUUGAUAUUUUUUUAGUUGUUGUUCCUAUGUGUUAGUAAGAAAGCUUUCAUUUAUCUCCAUGAUUGUAAAGCCGGUGAUCCCCAGCAGAUGAGCAGUUGUGGUUCGUUUGCUUAAUAUAUAUAGGGCAUGCCUGUGCCUUUUCUCUAAAUAUAAGAAGGAUUUCAUUUAUUAAUUGAAAUUUGGUUCAUGUGUUAAUUGACCUAAAAUGAUUAGUCUAUUUACACGUCUUGUCGCUGCUGCGUAAGAUAGAUGACGGCCCUCAUUUCUAUUCCACUCGUUGAUAUUAGGAGGGGCCAAAGUAAGUGUAUGACAUAAAAACGCCUAGGGUGAUCAGAGACGCCGGAGAAUUAGUACAACGAUUAGCAUAAAUAUAAGCAUAGUAAAAUUUCCUCUGGGAAGGGGGGGCCAAGGCCUGGUAUUGUCCCGCCUACGCUCCGCCACUGACCAAAUGUGUUUGCUGGUUAGGUUGAAUUUCCUAUAUUAACAUGAUUAGUAAUUUUUAUUGAAUUUUAUUGAAAGAAUUCAGAAACUCAAUUUUUUUACUUCAUACAGAGUUUACAUGAAACCAAAUGUUGGUUUCCUUCUAUUUUUUUUUCGAAAUACACAUAUAAAUAGAGCCUUUUUCUUUUCAUGUUACACUAUUUAAUCAUCUACUGGUACCUAUUACGAACUUCUAUAAAAAAAUUCAACGACAUUGUUAUAUCCUAUACCAACCACCCAUUAAGUGAUGCAUAUAUUUUAGCACGCAUACAUACUACGGAAGUUAUCCAUUGGUAUGACACAUGCGAAUGCCAGCCCAACUUGCCAGUGCUUAAACACUCUCAGGUGGUCAAUGUUGUGGAACGGAAAAUGUGUCGCUUUUCAUGCACACUUACAAUUUGUAUAGUUGGCUUGUACGCAAGUAAUCAAUGCAUAGCCAUAAACUGUAUUACUGUUUGACAUCAAAUGUAUUGUUUUAGUUAAAGAAAAGUGGUUAAUGUUUUGCUACAAAAUAGAAACGGUGAAGAGAUCAUGUGUGAGAGCUAGGCAGAAGCAAGUUUCAGUUUAUCAUGUAAUUGGAACUGGAAGGGAUUCCAAUUGAGGGUAAAAUUUUCUGGCUUCCUUGCAGUAUGUGAUAUCAUCAGUUCCUUUUUCUUUUGUUUUGAGGGAAUGCACGUCUCAUAUGAUUAGUUAACAAUGCAAACUUCUUUUUCCUGUUUCUAGUUUCUUAUACUUAUGUCUCAUGCUCCUGACCUUUUUCUUUCCGCGGAGACACGCUUUGUCAAUAGAGACGCUAUGUCCUUAUGACGGGUAACUUUUUAGUAUUUUUUUUUCUUUACAGUACUAACUAAAAUUGUGGGUAACAUAUAAUUGAGCAUAAUAUAUAUGUCUUGGAGGCGACUGUUUUAACAUCAUGUAAUCAUUAUCUCAAGCAUGCAUUUGUAGCUUCACCCAUCAGUAUAGUGUUGUGUGCAGAGGGAAAAUUAGGGAAUCUCUUUUAAUUUAGCAAGUCAAGAUUAUAUAAAAAUAACAGAAGCAUGGUCAUAUAUAUUGUUUAAUUUGACAAUAUAACCAACAGAUACAUAUGACAACAUUGACACACUAUAUCUGCUAUAUUUAUUGACCAAUCCAGAACCUCGUAUUCAUAUGAUAAAACUUAGGAGAAUUCAGAAUUCCAGUACUCUAGUUGUCUAGAUCUGGUAAGUAGAUAACAGAAGAGUGAUUACAACACAUUUGAAAGCAUGUCUAUUUGCAGAUGGGAAACUAUGCCCCAAUUGAAUUUCAUCACGUAAGAUUGGAAAUCAUAUCUCAUCCAUAAGCACAAAUGAUGUUCAUUUAUAAUUGCCAUUAAAUAUUGACAUCUUUCUGUGUAAACAUUACCUAACUAUUUCACGUAGCAUAAAACUUCCCCAUAUUUCUCUAGACCAUGUCUAAUAGUGUAUAAUAUAUGAUAGAUAGACUACUUGAGUUCUACAGGUUUCUAUUUACAUGUCCUUUGAUGUACGAAGAUUGGUUAUAGAUAACGAUUUCUUUUGAUAUAAAAUAAAGCACCCCUCUAACUAAAUAAUUCAUUUUCCCUGAAGUCUUAAAAAUAUUUUGGAAGAUUUGGAAUUCAGACCAGUAACCUAUAGGCAAGAAUAUAGUAAUGUAUCGUCAAAUAUCAUCUAUCAAAUGUUAUAUUACCAACUGUGCAUAAUAAACAGAAGUGAGUUCUGUAGAUUGGCAAUGGUCUACAGACUCUCAAGUGAAUCCGUGCACCCAAUCAGUUGAUUUAUGACUUAGAUAUACCAUGUAGAUAAUCAUAGAUUUAUACUUCAUAUUUGGAAGAAACAACUUCAAACAUCCAAAUCAUCUCCACGCAUUAAGAACUCCAAGAAGUAACUAAUUUGUUUGUUACGUACCAGAGAAGUGGAGGCUCUAAGAAUUAAAAAGUAGUCUUGCACAACAUUCUUUCUUACGUAUAAAUAUUGUAAAACAAAACUCCUUGCCGCGUCUUCAGGGAAACAGAAACAGAAAGAAUGUAAAGGAAGUAGUUUCUCUUGAUAACUACAAUCAUUUUAAAUUGACAUUGGCAAGGAAAACUUCUAAAUUGUGAUUGAAAGGUAGUAUAACCGAAGAUGCAACAGGUGGAUAGUCUAGCUUGAAAAGGUACAUGAAUCGAAGGAUUAAACUACAUUGAAUCAUUGGAUAAGUAUACCAUUAAUUAGUGCAUAUAUUGGCAUCAUGCAUAUUUCCUUGUAAGUUGUAUAACUAUUUCCCAUGGCAGAGAUAACCGAUAUGAAGAACUUUAUUCCUUCUUGAAUAACUAAAGGCCUUGAAAGCUAGCCGUCAAUAUUAUGUCUCGGCUAUCAUAGCAACAGCUAUGCCUGUUUAUAGAACAAUGUUAAUUAUAUUCAAAGUACAGUAAUAUAGAGGUAACUAUAUAUUCUUAGAAAGUAAGAAAACUUACAAAUUUCAAGCACCACCUUAGUGUCUUCUGACAUAUUAUAGGUGGGGAGUUAGCCCAUCUGAGCUUGGACUUGCAAGGAAAUAUUGGCAAGAAAUGUUUCGAAAAGAAUUAGAAAGGGAGGAGAAUGAAUACAUUACAGUAUAAAUAAUGUAUGCAUCUAGAUGGUUAGAAAAUGUAGAAGACUAAAAGUUAAUCAAGGCGAUCUGGCGAGGUUCUAUAUGAAAUUUGAUGUUCUGGGGAACAAAUCAUUUAAGUUGUGUUUGGGAUUACUUGCCUGUUGAGUUUGGGAAUCAGCGGCAGGCGAUGAACUCAAAACUUGUCCAGGAUGACUGCUUUAUAGUGUCACUUACAGUUACAAAUAGAUGAAGACCUAAUAAAUUAAAUUCUAGGGGAGGGAAAAUUUGGGAACAAUUCAAAGAAAAUUUAGAUGGCAUCUGCAGGGUGAAUUCAGAGGAAGACUUCAUUUGUCUAUUGCCUUGACUGGAGCAGUGGAGCUUGCUAGGUUCAAUGACAUGGCUGUAGGUUUACCUCAUCGUCGGCGUCGUCUUUGCUGCCGCAGCCGCUUCUUCGACGCCUGCGUCACGCAGCCAUUGGAUGGCGGCUUCUGCUCCCUCUGUCACAUUCCUGAUGUUUUCCAUCCGUGAGACACGGUUCCUGUCCCUGAUUGGAUCAUAUACCUAGGAAUUGAAGGCAAGCCUCUAUUCAAUUAGGAGAUGACAUGGUUCCUGUGCUUGGAGCUUUAAACAUCCAAAUCAUCUCCGUGCAUUAAGAACUCCAAGAAGUAACUAAUUUGCUCAUCUGUGUUGAUGCGUUCAAGUCCUGCACGCUGUACUCACCAUGGGUGGUGAUGCUAUGUGAAGACUUCAGCGACCACAAAGAAAUUAGCUUUGCAACCAAAUUCAUCUAUUUGUAACUGUAAGUGACACUAUAUUUAAAUUUUGAAAUCCCAGGCUUCAAUUGCUAGCUUCAAGGAGACGGCUGUAGGGUUACCUCAUCAUCGUCGUCAUCUCUGCCGCCACCGCUGCUUCUUCGACGUCUACGUCUCAAGGUGGGAAUGGGCCGGGUCGACCCACCGGGUCUUUGGCCCGACCCAAAAAAACAAGGCCAAUGGGUCAGUCGGGUCGGCCUCAUACAAAAAUCGGGCCAGUAGAGCCGGCACGGAGUGCCCAUCGGGUCAGCGGGGCCGACCCACCUCCGAGAGUACUGGAGUCAAUCGGUAUCGCCAAAUCCAUCUUACUAGCUUAGCUUAUCUAUAUCUAUAUCUAUACCUCUAUAUCUAUAUCUAUACCUCUAUAUCUAUAUCUAUAUCUAUAUCUAUAUCUAUACCUCUAUAUCUAUAUCUAUACCUCUAUAUCUAUAUCUAUAUCUAUAUCUAUACCUUUAUAUCUAUAUCUAUAUCUAUAUCUAUACCUAUUAAUAAAGCAGAUAUUGCUUCUGCCCGUACGUCACAAAAAUCGCCCCCCGAAGUUGCUAGAAAUUACCCGCGAUGCCACCCGUAAGUGAAGAAAACGAUUCGAUUUUUCUUUUCAAAGUCGCCGUCGUUUCCAGAGUUUGUAUACAGUUAAUAUCCAACAAAUAUCAGUGACGCAGUAGCAGUGCGGUGGCUCGAUGCAUUGUCUUCUGCCCUGUAGACCAGGGUUCGAACCCCAGCUUCUACCAAUAUUUUCCUCCACCUUUUUCUCAUGACUUAUUCCCACCUACUUUAGGACUACAUGGGCCAGCCAGCGGACUUAAUGCCCUGUUUUUUUUUUCUUUUUUCUGGUCUUCUCUUUUCUCACUUCUGUUUUUGUUUUCUCCUUCUUUAAAUCAAUUUGAGAUUUUGAAGUAUUAAAAAGUUGCGAGUUUGAAAAAGCUGUUUGAGAAAUUAUAAAAUGUGUGUGAAUUCAAAAAAGUUCAGGAAAUCAUAAAAUUUUCGUGGUUUCAAAAAAUGUUACUGAUUUUACAAAAAUAUUUGCAAAUUAUAAAAAUAAUUUGGAAAGAAAUGUCGUUAAAUAAAAUCAAGUUCAUGAUCUUGAUAAAAUGAUCGUGUAUUCAAAACAUAUUUGUGAAUCUGAGUCAUCAUGAAAUCAAAAACUAUUCAUGCAUUUCAAUAAAUGUUCGUCUAAAAAACAAAUGUUUGUGAAUUUAAAAAAAUGUCUAAAUUUAAAAAGAAUGUUUGUCGAUUCAAAAAACUCUUCCUAUUCAGAUGUAUUUUAUAUCUAGGAUUUGAUUAAUUUUGGAAAUUCUUUAUAUGUCUUGGGGUUGGCGAGUAGUCCAUGGUCGAUGAGAUUUGUUUUCAAAGUUCAAAACAUUCCCUUGCGCGAGACAAUGACAAGUGUGUCGUACAGUGACAAGCCCAUUUUUUACCACGUUGAAUGCAUUGCGAUCACGUGGAUAUUGCAUCCGUCAUCAACGAGAGUGAGAAGAAAGAUAAUUGGCAACAUGGUGAGCCAUCGUGUUAAAAUAGAGGACAUUCAUAUGUCGGAUAUUGACCAACGUGUAAUUUUUUCUUCCGUUGCAACGCACGGGCAUAUUUGCUAGUACAACUAACAUCAGCUAAUUAUAGUGUACUAAUUAGCCGAAACAUUAACUAGCUAACAUUUGUACACGUACUGGAAUCCAUUAACUCAAUCCUCCUUUAUAAACUGGACGUGGAAAGAGCUGAAACUGUAUAUUGUGGUUCAUUUGUAAACUUUUAUUAUUUCAAUCAUGCAUGUUUAGAUCAUAAUUUUGUUUUACUUGUAAUAACAUAUUUUUGAGAAUAUCCUAUGUACCACAACCAAAUAUUGUAUAAGAAAAUAAAAUUUGGGUCGACCCAAAGUACCCAUUGGGCCGGUGAGGCCAUUGACUUUUUUGAAUUGGGUCGACCCGUGGCCUCUCAAAUUGGCCUCAAGGCCAACAGGGCCGGGUCCAAGGCCAGGUCCGGGCCGACUCAUUCCCACCCUGAUCUACGUCCAUGUCGGCCAGGCUUCAAGUGCUAGCUUCAAGGAGACGGCUGUAGGGUUACCUCAUCAUCGUCGUCAUCUCUGUUCGCCGCCGCUGCUUCUUCGAUGCCUCCAUGUCGGCCAUGGGAUGGCUGCUUGGUACUCUUACCUUUGCUACCACCCGCUGAUUUCAGGACGCGAAGACUUCGUCCCUGAUCGAUCGUAUUCCUAGGGUUUGAAGGCAAGCCUCUAUUCAAUUGAGAUGACUGGUUCGUGUGCUCAGAGCCAAAUUUCCUUCACGGUCUGUGUUGAUGUUUGAGUUCAUGAGCACGUUAUGGUUCCUCCACGUACAUGUGUAAUCUAACCGAGAGAUUAUUAGAAGUUAAAAAGUAUUUCCUUCUAUGACAUGACCUGGUUCUACACGUGACUAUGAUAUACUUGCCAAAGAAAGAAAGAACUUCUCUUUUCCGAUGACGAACCCCUUUGUACGUGUCAAAGAAGAAUUGUACCUAAUAGAUGUUGUACGUAACUUUUUUCAUCCUUCAAUCUUGACCGUUUUGAUUAGAAUCAACGGAUAAUAAAUUUUUAGCAUAUAUGGAUUAAC
rnacentral:lncRNA from 1 species